GGUCAAGCGAACAAGUGCAUGUGGUGGAUGCCUUGGCGAUCACAGGCGAUGAAGGACGCGGUAGCCUGCGAAAAGCUACGGGGAGCUGGCAAACGAGCUUUGAUCCGUAGAUGUCCGAAUGGGGAAACCCGGCCCUUUUGGGUCAUCCUGGACUGAAUACAUAGGUCCAGUGAAGCGAACGCGGUGAACUGAAACAUCUAAGUAACCGCAGGAAAAGAAAUCAACCGAGAUUCCCAAAGUAGUGGCGAGCGAAAUGGGAUGAGCCUUGCACUCUUUAUUUGUAUUGUUAGCCGAACGCUCUGGAAAGUGCGGCCAUAGCAGGUGAUAGCCCUGUAGGCGAAAACAGUAUGAAAGAACUAGGUGUGCGACAAGUAGGGCGGGACACGUGAAAUCCUGUCUGAAGAUGGGGGGACCAUCCUCCAAGGCUAAAUACUCGUGAUCGACCGAUAGUGAACCAGUACCGUGAGGGAAAGGCGAAAAGAACCCCGGGAGGGGAGUGAAAUAGAUCCUGAAACCGCAUGCAUACAAACAGUCGGAGCCUCGUAAGGGGUGACGGCGUACCUUUUGUAUAAUGGGUCAGCGACUUACGUUCAGUAGCAAGCUUAACCGUAUAGGGCAGGCGUAGCGAAAGCGAGUCCGAAUAGGGCGUUCAGUUGCUGGGCGUAGACCCGAAACCAGGUGAUCUAUCCAUGGCCAGGAUGAAGGUGCGGUAACACGUACUGGAGGUCCGAACCCACUAACGUUGAAAAGUUAGGGGAUGAGCUGUGGAUAGGGGUGAAAGGCUAAACAAACCUGGAAAUAGCUGGUUCUCUCCGAAAACUAUUUAGGUAGUGCCUCGUGUCUCACCUUCGGGGGUAGAGCACUGUCAUGGUUGGGGGGUCUAUUGCAGAUUACCCCGCCAUAGCAAACUCCGAAUACCGAAGAGUGCAAUCACGGGAGACAGACAUCGGGUGCUAACGUCCGGUGUCAAGAGGGAAACAACCCAGACCGCCAGCUAAGGUCCCCAAAUAUAGCUAAGUGGGAAACGAAGUGGGAAGGCUAAAACAGUCAGGAGGUUGGCUUAGAAGCAGCCACCCUUUAAAGAAAGCGUAAUAGCUCACUGAUCGAGUCGUCCUGCGCGGAAGAUGUAACGGGGCUAAGCUAUAUACCGAAGCUGCGGAUGCGAGCUUUGCUCGCAUGGUAGGAGAGCGUUCCGUAAGCCUGCGAAGGUGCCUUGUAAAGGGUGCUGGAGGUAUCGGAAGUGCGAAUGCUGACAUGAGUAGCGAUAAAGGGGGUGAAAGGCCCCCUCGCCGUAAGCCCAAGGUUUCCUACGCAACGUUCAUCGGCGUAGGGUGAGUCGGCCCCUAAGGCGAGGCAGAAAUGCGUAGCUGAUGGGAAGCAGGUCAAUAUUCCUGCACCAUUGUUAGAUGCGAUGGGGGGACGGAUCGCGGAAGGUUGUCCGGGUGUUGGAAGUCCCGGUCGCUGCAUUGGAGAAGGCGCUUAGGCAAAUCCGGGCGCG
rnacentral:rRNA from 1 species